CUUAAUUGACUGUCAGUUCUCUUGAAUAGUAAGUUCUUAGUGGGCCAUUUUUGGUAAGCAGAACUGGCGAUGUGGGAUGAACCAAACGUAAAGUUAAAAGUGCCUAAAAAUACGUUCAUCAGACACCACAAAAGGUGUUGAUUCAUCUUGACAGUUGGACAGUGGCCAUGGAAGUCGGAAUCUGCUAAGGAGUGUGUAACAACUCACCAACCGAAUGAAUUAGCCCCUGAAAAUGGAUGGCGCUUAAACGUAUUACUUAUACUUUACCAUUAAAGUAAAUGCUAAACUUUAAUGAGUAGGAGGGCGUAUUGAUAAUUUAGAAGAUUGACAGUGAUGUUGAUUGGAAUUAUCUUUAGUGCAGAUCUUGGUGGUAGUAGCAAAUAUUCAAUAGAGAACAUUGAAGACUGAAGUGGAG
rnacentral:rRNA from 1 species